rnacentral:lncRNA from 1 species
GUUUUCUCAGAACACAGUAUCAUGUUAAUCGUUUGAAUAUUAUCAAUCUUUUAUUAUUAUCUAUUAUCAAUUUAGUGGCUCCAAGUUCACCGAAGAAUCACCUGGAAGCGUCUUUUAUGUAACACAAAAGUAACGGUCAGACAAGGUAAUAUGGGUUGGUAACUGGCGCAUCUCGUGACUGUGUGGUGUUUAUUCCAACAAGUGUACUAAACAUUCCUGUUUGGUUGCGCCCUUCUGUAAAUGGGACCACGCAAUAGUAUUAAGAAUGACGCCUGAAAAGGUCAAAAAGACGAGGUGUCAAAUGAAAUCUCGGAAUCAUCAGCUACUCAAGAGAAUACUUCCGGGUCAUCCGAGACAUUGAGCGGACACUGAGACACCAAAGCGGUUUACCAGGUUACUGACUAAGCUUCAUAUGAGCUCAAACGUGAUGGGGAGGCCACUUCCUGAGCUCAACACUCAACGGCGCACUGUACGCCGUAGGGGCUCGGAAGAUACAGCAAACCACGCAAAUAACCAAAGCGGAUCCGUCGCUACAGGCAGCAUAAGCACGACUAAUAAGCCUGACAAGGGAAAGGAAGCCCUGAGUUGAUACUUGGGACAGUUCCGGGCUUGAGUCGAAGAAAAGCUCAUAUAUGAAGGAACUUUUUAAUCAAGCACAUAAGAGAUAUGUUUUCGAUUAUGCCAUAAUAUAAAUUGCGUACAAGGAUAAAAAAGCGCUUACUGUUGAGACCAUUUAUUGAAUCUAUCUAACCUUAAUUAUCAACUCCUGAAACACUUAUUUGAAUACAUAUAGUAAAUUAUGCCUAGGCUUUGAAAUGCAUCAGUUCUAUAUUUGUAUAGUGUUAUAAACUGAACCCAACUAAGGGGCGUUAAAAACUUCUAUUUUAAUAAAAAGCUUGAAAAAAAGAACCAACUGUGCGUUGAUUGCUAACGUCGGGGCGAAGGCAUGAGAAUUAUACAAAACCAAAGCUUUUAUUUAUGUUUGUGAUAAUUAUUACUACAAGUAAUGUAAAACGAUUCGCUUCCAUUUUGAUGUGAGCGAUUUCAUCGCAUAACGUGGGAACUGUGAAUAUCACUCUCAGGUCCUAAUCAAAUACUAAAAAUAGUUCUAAAAAAUGGAAACAUGGAACAAGGUAAAGUGUGAGUGGGAAUUUAGUGGGUGUUAGUGCAGUUGAGGAGGCUGGCAAAGAUCCUAUAUUGCCGUGUAAAAGAUAUAGAAAAUAUGAUUGUUAUCGCAAAUAUUGUUUUUAUUUUACUUAUGGAUUUAUGAGGCUACCUCGAUAUUUCACCCUGAAAGCUUAUCUUUUUUUGAUAACAACCGUCGAACCUCCAAUGGAAUCUCUCUGAGGACCACCUAAGUAAAUAUUUUCUUUUUCGUUUUUCAAACAAAUCACAGUGCCGUGUUUUUCAUGUCUUGCAAAUCAUAUACUGUGAAGAAACUAUUGUCGUCGAGUAACCUUAUCACUGUCAGUACAAAAUAUGAUAUUAAGUUAGUAGCAUAAGUUAUAUGCAAGAAUUCGUUUAUACGUAAGACCACACAGAUUUGUAAAUACCUGCCACAGGCAAAUAUGGAGGGCCCACUAAGGUCAAUUUUAAUAUAUACGAAGCACCAAAUUACAACUUCCAAAUAAGUAAAUGCCUCCGCGUCAGUACAUUGUUGUGUCAAUACCUUCCUACUGCUUAAACCUAAAAUAAAAAUUGAAUAGCUUUACAUAUGUUAUGAGUCUUCUGUUCUUUUUCAAGUUUCUAUCAAUACCAUAAUUAUCUCAGGUACGAUUGUUAAAAGCUUGAGAAGAAGCGGGAAAAGAAAUUGAAAAUUUAGUGUGCAAAUUCCGGAGAAAUAUUUUAUAGAAAUGAUGACAACAUAUUGUAUGUGGCGAUGCGUAAUAGUAAUUACUGCACAUUAUGCCAUAAUUACUUUUGUGAAUAUAGCCGCGUAUAUAUAUAUAUAUAUAUACAUAAUGGAGUUCAGAUAAAUGAAUUGUAGUUUCAUAUUCCUUGUGCCAUAUGUCGUGUAUAUCAACCAUAUGCCGUAUGUCCUUUCUCAAAGAACUGUGAUGACUGCGUCAUUAUACGCUGAGAUUAUGGAUUAAUCGUGGCUAAUUCGUUAUUCAACAAUUAUAGAUAGUAAGCGUAGCUUGACUUACUACAGUAUGAUUUGUUAACCUAUUCAUUGUUACAGCUUCUUCUUACGUUCGGUAUAAAAUAGAAUAAUGUGCCACACAAAAUUUUGCUUUAUCGUAGACGAAUCAUGAGCUUCGAUCUAAAACCUAAUGACUAUAUAGGUCAACAGUGAACGUGCUUUUGAUUAGCGUUUCCUCAAGAAAAAAUCGCUAGAAGCCCUAUUAGUCUUCUAAGAGUAGAAAUUUUGAAGAAUGCACUGCUACCACUAUAUAUAUAUAUAUAUAUAUAUAUAUAGUCCCGUGGUGACGGUUGCUCUCAACGUCUCAUUACGCAAAUUUUCAUUCUUCAUAUAGCUCCACCACCCUUACCCCCGAAAAAAAAAACGAAAAUAUCUAUAAUAUCCACA